rnacentral:rRNA from 1 species
UGGGGAAUAUUGGACAAUGGGCGCAAGCCUGAUCCAGCAAUGCCGCGUGUGUGAAGAAGGCCUUCGGGUUGUAAAGCACUUUUAUCAGGAGCGAAACGCUGUCGGCUAAUACCCGGCGGAACUGACGGUACCUGAGGAAUAAGCACCGGCUAACUUCGUGCCAGCAGCCGCGGUAAUACGAAGGGUGCAAGCGUUAAUCGGAAUUACUGGGCGUAAAGCGUGCGUAGGCGGUUUCUUAAGUCUGCUGUGAAAUCCCCGGGCUCAACCUGGGAAUGGCAGUGGAUACUGGGAGGCUAGAGUGUGUCAGAGGGUGGUGGAAUUCCCGGUGUAGCGGUGAAAUGCGUAGAGAUCGGGAGGAACAUCAGUGGCGAAGGCGGCCACCUGGGACAACACUGACGCUGAGGCACGAAAGCGUGGGGAGCAAACAGGAUUAGAUACCCUGGUAGUCCACGCCCUAAACGAUGCGAACUGGAUGUUGGUCUCAACUCGGAGAUCAGUGUCGAAGCUAACGCGUUAAGUUCGCCGCCUGGGGGAGUACGGUCGCAAGACUGAAACUCAAA